CCGCCGGGUCCCGCUGUAGCCACGGGCAGCCGGGGCCGAGCCGGUACCGGGAGGAGGGCGGCGCUUCCCCGUAGCAGGCGCUGGAUCGCGGCUGGAAGCGGGCGGGGAGCGGGGAGAGCCCGGGCAGCCCCGGCACCCCCCGGGCACCGCCGCGCCCUCAGGGCCGCCCCCGCAGCGCCCCCUGGCGGACACGGAGCGGCGGCGCGGGCACGGCGCUCCCGCAGCCCCCCGGUGCGCGCUCCCGGUGCCGCAGCAUUUUCCAGAAAAUGGAAAUUAAGUCCACCCAGCUACCAGUGAGAAGAACAUGAACUCACAGCCAUAAAGGCCUGGCAGUCCCUGCAGCGAGAGCUCAGCACAAAUCCACAGAGGCAAUUCCAGCAUCUGAAAGAAAGAAGAAAAAGGAAUUCUGCAAUCAAACUCUGACAAGCCCAAAAGCUGUCUGGCUGCUCAGGAACAAAAGGAGACUCCCAGGGAUGAGGCACAUUCCCAGCAAACACUCCCAGCAGGGCACAGAGGCACCACUGGAGCUCCUGUGGGGCUGGGAAGGGCUGCGAGGAGGACACAGCCCCAGCUGGGGUGGCAGUGGCAGUGACAGCAGCAAAUUCCCACAGGCUGAUGGCACAACAGAGAGACAAAGCCAGCAAUGCCCAUGGGAGGUGCAGGUUUAAUUCUGCUCCCUGCACUGCCACAUCCCAGUAGGAAAUUUCCAGGGAAGACAAAAUGCAGCAUCUGCCACCCUGAUCCCACUUAAACUCAGCGUGUGGGGCCAACCCCCCACAGGGAACCACUGACCUGGCCUGGAUCAGCCCCAGACACUGCCCCAGUUCUCACCUCCAACUGCUCCUGGGGCUGCCACCACAUUCCUGACAAGGAGCCAAAGGCCCCUUUGGACAGGGCUCUCUCUGUGUCUCAGGCCUGGGGGACUGCAGGGACCAGGGCAAGGACACCCUGGAGCUAACUGAGGCCUCACCCACACCACAGACAAGACCAGGGGUCCUCCAGUGCAGGCCAGCACAGCCAGAGCCCGUUGGGUUUGGCUGCUCAAACACCAAAGCUUUUGGCAAAGAUGGGACAAGUUAUGUGGUUUUUCCUGUCCUGAAAGAGAAAAUGAAAAUUAAGUCCACUGUGGAUGUCAAAGGCUCCUGGCCUUCCCACUUCUGUUUUGAUUGCUCACUAUAGGGUUCUAGCCACAAAAAAUGAGAGGUGACACCAAAUAAAAGUGCCUCUUUCCAACAUUUUAUUCCCUAAUAUUUUCAUACAUAAAAAGGAUGGCCAUUUUUUCUUAUGGAAUUCUUUGCCCAAUUUUAACAGAACCAUUUUCAUUCCAGGCCCCACUUGUGAGUUACUGAAUACUUUGCCAUCAGACUUUGGACAAAAGGAGAGAAGGAUCUGUUCCACACAGGUGUCAUCCAAUGGGGAACACACCCUGUGCCAGCCCCAGCCUGGGCUGAGCACGCUGCCUCAUUCCCCCAUUCUGGAUUCUGGCUCCAGUCCAGUCUGAGUUUCCCCCCAUUUUCCAUGUCUAGAAACAGGAAAUUGUCCUGGUCAGGGUGUAAGACCUUAAACUGCACAUUGAUCUUGGGGGCUGUGACUGGGAUUCCAGCAGGGAAUUAAUCGUGUCACAAAUAAAAGCUAUUGCAGGGAGCAGCACUGACAAGGUUGGGAGCUGCUGCUUCACCACACGGUGUCAGCAACAGAGAGAAAACACAAAAUGUGUAUCCAAAAGCAAGGAUAAAAUGACUCCUCCUGCUUUUAGUUGGACCAUGGUUAAUUCUGCCCUGGAAUAACAAAGAAUUUCUCUCUCAGACCCUCAGAGAGCCCUUGAAAAGCCAAAGUGCAGCAGGGAAGGAAGGAAAGGCAUCUCUGCUGGGAACAGCACAGGUCCUGCUGCUCCUGGGCACUGGGAAUGAGUCUGGAGACAAAAGUACCUUCCCAGGCUGGAGGAGCUUUCCUAAAGCACCACCUCUGGGAAGCAAAGGGAAGACAUGGAGUGGGAAUUUACAAUAAUAAUCAUAAUAUUGGGAAAGAGCAACAAUGGAAGCAAGCCUAACUCCAAGGGAGCAGGAGGAAUGCUGAGCUUUAAACGAGGUUUGAGUGAAGCAGCAUCCCCUGGGAUCUCUGAAGCACAGUUCCAGGUCUGGGAUUCCAACACCAGUGCAAACUCCCACUGCCCAGUCCCUGGAUUUGCCUCCUGCCAGCACUCAGCACCUCAGGCACACUUGGCUUGAGUGCUCCAGUGCUGCUGCCUCCAGGGACUGGGA